rnacentral:rRNA from 1 species
CAGCCGCCGCGGUAAUACGAAGGGGGCUAGCGUUGUUCGGAAUUACUGGGCGUAAAGCGCACGUAGGCGGAUAUUUAAGUCAGGGGUGAAAUCCCAGAGCUCAACUCUGGAACUGCCUUUGAUACUGGGUAUCUUGAGUUCGGGAGAGGUGAGUGGAACUGCGAGUGUAGAGGUGAAAUUCGUAGAUAUUCGCAAGAACACCAGUGGCGAAGGCGGCUCACUGGCCCGAUACUGACGCUGAGGCACGAAAGCGUGGGGAGCAAACAGGAUUAGAGACCCCGGUAGUCCCUGUCUCUUAUAA